AAGGCAAAUAUAAUUAAAUUAAAACCAACACAUUUAAAAGUUUGAGAUAGAAAAUUAAAAGAAAGCAAUCUAUCCAUGAUUUGGAUGGAGAGUGGAGUCAUGUGGGGUAGGCCUUUCAGAAUAGGUGGGUUUUGAGGAAGGUUUUAAAGGUGGGUAGAGACUCUAUGAUGUGUGCAUUUAUAAAUUAAAUUCCUCUGAUGGCAUCACUUUG